rnacentral:rRNA from 1 species
UACGUAGGGUCCGAGCGUUGUCCGGAUUUAUUGGGCGUAAAGAGCUCGUAGACGGCUCAGUAAGUCGGAUGUGAAAACUCGGGGCUCAACCCCGAGACGCCACCUGAUACUGCUGUGGCUUGAAUCUGGUAGGGGAGAUCGGAAUUCCUGGUGUAGCGGUGAAAUGCGCAGAUAUCAGGAGGAACACCGGUGGCGAAGGCGGAUCUCUGGGCCAGUAUUGACGCUGAGGAGCGAAAGCGUGGGUAGCAAACAGG